rnacentral:rRNA from 1 species
GACAGAGGGUGCAACGUUGUUCGGAAUUACUGGGCGUAAAGCGCGUGUAGGCGGCUAUGUAAGUCGGGCGUGAAAUCCCACGGCUCAACCGUGGAAGUGCACCCGAAACUGCGUAGCUAGAGUCCUGGAGAGGAAGGUGGAAUGCUUGGUGUAGAGGUGAAAUUCGUAGAUAUCAAGCGGAACACCGGUGGCGAGGCGGCCUUCUGGACAGUGACUGACGCUGAGACGCGAAAGCGUGGGGAGCAAACAGGG